GCAAGGCCCAGCCGGGCUGUUGGGUAGGGAGAGUGGUCACAGAAGCAGGCAUUGGCCCAAAUGAACGAACUUUGUUCACCAGAGCUGGGCUCCCGUGGCCUGAGUCUGGGGUCGGUGGAGGCAUGCCGGAAGUGCCUGGGACUGCUGGAAGGUUGACAGUGUCAAGGCAGGGAGGAGGAAGUGCUGACGUCAUCCCUCUGGAUCUGAUGCUCCACCAGCUGUAUCAGGCCUCCCACCCCCAGAAUGGACGCUCCCAGCUUUCAUAACCCUCCGGCCGGGGAGCUCACUACCUCAGAGACAGCCUGCUCUGCUGCUGAGCAUCUUGUAUGAGGAGGUCCUGCCAGCCUUUGAGCCACAAUCUGCCUUCUGGACUCCCGGACAUUUCCACUCCAUGCCUGCAGUCCUGCCUCCUGGCAGGUGCACUCCGCUCAGGCCCCACCCCAUCCCCCCCCCAAGAGAUCUGGGGAUCAUGGCCGUCUCCUCAGUGCAGCCUUGCUGACCACCCCGCGGGGGCACCCCUCCGACUCGGCCGUGUCUGGUUCCAUCGUGGCCACGAAGACGACGUGCCCAUCUGUAGGCUUAUUGGUGUCUGUGCUCGUUCUCAUUGCCUGGCCCCUCGGGGACAGGGACUAGCUCUUCUUGUCCCCUCGGCGGGCUGGUGGAUGCCCUGCGGAGGGAUCCAAAGCUGGGCCCCUGUGGCCUCAUCCUCCCCCCUUCCCCGGGCCUGGCCACCUUGUGAGAAGAGGGACAUUUGUUUCUCUGGGGAAAAGGCCCCUCGGGGUGACAUCUGCCACCAGAGCUGGUGCAGGGGAGAAAGAGAGGAAAGAGGGAGGCCAGGCAGGUGUGGGCUCCGGCUGGAUGGCAGAGACAUGGACAUGCCUCGGGGGGCCACGAUGCUGCCAGGAGGCCCCCCCCCCCGGGAGUCAAGAACAAAGGAUUCUGGGGAACGGCUUAUGCAGGGCGUUGCCCCCCACUCCCCCCAGACAUCAGCCUUUCAAGUGGAAGUUGAAAGGGCCACUGGCCCGUGGGCUGAGGCGGCGUGGAGGAAAUGGGCUGGGGACGGAAAUGACACGGCCGUGCAGGAAUGCUGCACUAGGCUGACACCCCGGCCAGGCCCUCUGGCCAGCACUGAGGGCGCCCUGGGCACCCCGAGCUGGGAGGCGUCAGCCAGCAGCAUGGGGGCCCAAUCGAGCUGCCCCUGACAAUGGAGGGGAAGACGGCCAGGCCUGACAACCCCCCUCACUGUUCCACCCGGGGGCCCUGCCUGGGACAUUGCAGGCCUGCUCAGUGCCUAGACCCCGGGGGUCCAGGGCCCUGUGAGUUCGGAGGACUGGCCAGACCGGGCCGCCUCGCUCCCACCUCCAGUGUCAGGUCCUUCUUAGUGACGAUGCGGACGCCCCUCGUCGUCUUCAUCCUCACGCGCUGGGGACUUCCCGUGUGCUAAGUGGGCUGCGUGCCCAGCCCCAUCAUACCCCAGGCCGACUACACGAUGGACUUACUGAAAAUCCCCAUGUAACAGAUGAGGAAACUGAGGCCCCGAGAAGCCCGACAACUUGCCCAAGACCAAGUCCCUGUCCCCUUGCUCCCCCUGUCCUCUCCUCUGCCCCCUGCUUCUCCCCCUCCGUCCUUUAUUAGACAAUUUGUUAUUAAGCGCCCGCCAUGCGCAGGCAUGAGCCAGGUGUUGGGGACAUCAAGAUGACCGAGACCCCCCUGGGCCUCUCCUCCCAAUGACAGGCAG
ensembl:lncRNA